rnacentral:rRNA from 1 species
CGGGUGAGUAACACGUGGAUAACCUACCUAUAAGACUGGGAUAACUUCGGGAAACCGGAGCUAAUACCGGAUAAUAUAUUGAGCCGCAUGGUUCAAUAGUGAAAGACGGUUUUGCUGUCACUUAUAGAUGGAUCCGCGCCGCAUUAGCUAGUUGGUAAGGUAACGGCUUACCAAGGCGACGAUGCGUAGCCGACCUGAGAGGGUGAUCGGCCACACUGGAACUGAGACACGGUCCAG